CUAAAUCGUAAGAGAAUGGAUGAAAUUUGGUUUUUAUAAGGAACCUACUUAGGACUUUGAAUUUCCUCUUUUAGAAACCCUCCUUAGGGAUUUGGAUGAAAUGUUUAUCUCACUGCUUUUCCUCCAAAGCAGAAAUUUGCCUCUUGCUAACAUGGUUUCUUGUGUUGGAAUGCUAUGGCAUUAGUGGAUCAACUAUUUCUUUGAUGUAGGGUGGUGUGGGAGAUUUGGUCUUCUUUCUUUCACUUAAUUUGGCAUUUUGUGGUUACUCUUCUUCAGUGGCCUUCCAAUUCCUCAUGAAGAGUUGCUCCUCCACUCCUUCAAAUCAAAGAGAAAAAGGCCUUUGGAAAAUGCUCACCAAGGUUUUGUGUAUCAGCAUUGGCUUCCCUGGCCAAUAAGAUACGGUCCAUUGAUGUGAUGCAUCCCGUAAAGGCCAAAUUUUUUUGGACAAAAAUUUACAAAACAAUAUUGGUUUUUUUCUUUUAAACAUUGGGAGUAUUCCAAAAUUUCUUUCUUUCUUUUUUCUUUUUUUCCUUUGGACAUGUAUUUGAUGUUGUAACAUGCCAUUAUUUAAUAUGAAUGUUCACACAAAUUCAGGCUAGAGGGGUGCCAAUUGGGGAGAAACGGCCUCUAUGCGCACUAUAGCUUCCAACCAGUUAUCCAUUUUACAGGUACAAUAUACGCGUUGGAAAGCUAUCGACAAGCUCUACG